rnacentral:miRNA from 1 species
CUUGGGGUGAAGGGAGCUCCU